ACUCAAAGGAAUUGACGGGGGCCCGCACAAGCGGUGGAGUAUGUGGUUUAAUUCGAUGCAACGCGAAGAACCUUACCUGGUCUUGACAUCCCGGGAAUUCUUAGGAAACUAGGAAGUGCCUUCUUUGAAGGAGCCUGGAGACAGGUGCUGCAUGGCUGUCGUCAGCUCGUGUCGUGAGAUGUUGGGUUAAGUCCCGCAACGAGCGCAACCCUUGCCUUUAGUUGCCAUCAGUUUAGCUGGGCACUCUAAAGGGACCGCCGGUGUCAAACCGGAGGAAGGUGGGGAUGACGUCAAGUCCUCAUGGCCCUUAUGACCAGGGCUACACACGUACUACAAUGGCCGGUACAACGGGCAGCGACAUCGCGAGAUGGAGCCAAUCCUUCAAAACCGGUCUCAGUCCGGAUUGGAGUCUGCAACUCGACUCCAUGAAGUUGGAAUCGCUAGUAAUCGUGGAUCAGCAUGCCACGGUGAAUACGUUCCCGGGCCUUGUACACACCGCCCGU
rnacentral:rRNA from 1 species